UACGUAGGGUCCGAGCGUUGUCCGGAAUUACUGGGCGUAAAGAGCUCGUAGGUGGUUUGUCGCGUUGUUCGUGAAAACUCACAGCUCAACUGUGGGCGUGCGGGCGAUACGGGCAGACUUGAGUACUGCAGGGGAGACUGGAAUUCCUGGUGUAGCGGUGGAAUGCGCAGAUAUCAGGAGGAACACCGGUGGCGAAGGCGGGUCACUGGGCCGCAACUGACGCUGAGGAGCGAAAGCAUGGGGAGCGAACAGG
rnacentral:rRNA from 1 species